CCCGACCCCAUGCCGAACUCAGAAGUGAAACGCCGUAGCGCCGAUGGUAGUGUGGGGCCUCCCCAUGCGAGAGUAGGGAACUGCCAGGC
rnacentral:rRNA from 1 species